UACGUAGGGUGCGAGCGUUGUCCGGAUUUACUGGGCGUAAAGAGCGCGCAGGCGGUCGUUCAAGUCGAGUGUGAAAGCCCCCGGCUCAACUGGGGAGGGUCACUCGAUACUGAUCGACUUGAAGGCAGGAGAGGGAAGCGGAAUUCCCGGUGUAGUGGUGAAAUGCGUAGAUAUCGGGAGGAACACCAGUGGCGAAGGCGGCUUCCUGGCCUGUUCUUGACGCUGAGGCGCGAAAGCUAGGGGAGCAAACGGG
rnacentral:rRNA from 1 species